UACGUAGGGUGCGAGCGUUGUCCGGAAUUAUUGGGCGUAAAGAGCUCGUAGGCGGUUUGUUGCGUCGGCUGUGAAAUCCCGAGGCUCAACCUCGGGUCUGCAGUCGAUACGGGCAGACUAGAGUACGGCAGGGGAGACUGGAAUUCCUGGUGUAGCGGUGAAAUGCGCAGAUAUCAGGAGGAACACCGGUGGCGAAGGCGGGUCUCUGGGCCGAUACUGACGCUGGAGGCGCGGAAAGCGUGGGGAGCAAACAGG
rnacentral:rRNA from 1 species